rnacentral:lncRNA from 1 species
AUGAGCUGAACAUCCAAUAAAUACUUCAGAGCUAAACAAGCUCAAGACAAAUGAGUAUAAGCUUUCACAGGCAUAAAUAUUAUAAAACCACUCAUAAUUGUAUUAACAAAGGAAGCAUCGCCCUUACAAAGUACAGCUGCAACAGCUGUAUGAUAUACUAGUAGAUAAUAGAAGAUGCAUUAUAUGCAUUAGUCUGGCCCUAGGUUAAACUAAUUCUAUUCAUAGUUCAUAAUAUGGCAGAAGCUUCAUCACUUGGUUCAGACAACAGAACCUCCUGUCUGAUGAAGCAUGGCGUCAAUUUCAUCCCCAUCUUCCAUCUCCAACUGAAACAAGACAUAUUUCCAUGCCAUAAAACAUGAAUGUUAGACAAUUAUUAUCAAAAUAUAUUUGGUAGAGAUAAAGUAGUGAAGAGAAAAGCAAUUAUAUUCACGAACCUCAUCGGGAGUCUGUUCAGCACGGAGACGACGCCCAUCAAAGAGAAAAGCAAUGGAGUUGAAAUCCACAGACUGACGAUCACAGUAAGCAUUCAUAAGCUUUUUCAAUUGAGUGUUCCUCUUGAUCCUGAAGAACACUUCAUUACCAUCCUAGAACAUACAAACAGACCAAAAUUAGCAUAUAACUCCAAUGUUUAAUUUCAUGUAUCCAAUUUAUGACAGUAAACAUUGUUUUUACUAAACAAGACUAAAGAUAUGGAAAACUACUCAUAUCAAGAAUUUAAAUAUAACUUCUGUUUUUUGAUAUGUAUCUCAACAACAAUUUCAAUAGCCUCUGAAUCGAAAACCAGAGUAAAAACCUCUAGAAAAUUCAGUUCACCUUGAAAUGUAUAAUUGAGUAUAGAAAAAUAAUUGAUCUAAAAUGCAAACCAUCAGAGUAAACAAAAACAAUUACAAUAUAAAAUUGAAGGAACCUCUUUGUAAGAGAUACUAAACAAACAAAAUAUUCUCUCAUUCGAUUAAACCUAAAUACAGAUGGCAGACAUGAAGGGAUGGACCAAACAGUGAAACAUACAUUAAAUAAAACAAAUCAUGAAUACUUAUUUUAGAAAAAAAUAAUUUUAGAUGUAGUGAAAAUGAUUGUUGUGAUUUUCAACCAUAAAAGAUGAAACACAACUGCCCAUUCUCUCAAAUUGAUAUUGCUAGGGAACACUUUCGGAAGAAUGCAUUGAUCAUAGCACAACACCGAUACACACUAUCCCUGCUCUCUAAUAAAACAUCACCUAUUUUUUUUCUGAAGAAACCAAAAGUGACACUAUAAAAUUUAGAUAACCAAAACAGAUACGAAGAUAUAAAACAAGCAAAAUCUCAGAUUAUAGACACGAAAGGAUACGACAAACAAUGAACCAUUGCAAACAUGAAAAGAUAUCCCGAUGUUUCUAUAUCACCAAAAAUUGGAACUAAAACUUUCACUAUCAUCCAUUUGAACAACAAUUCAUAGCAUAUAAAGUUUAAUGAAAACAGAAACCCAAAAGCAAUACAUAUAUCCAAACACAUCAACAAGAUACCACAUGAGCAUUCCAACAUGAGCAUCCAAAGCAUACAUUGUUAAAAAAAGACUCUUUUCUCAUACUUGAUUUAUUAUGUAAAACAAAUAAUAAUCAAUUUGAGAUUAAUUCCACCCUUGGUAAAACAACUUAUUAUGCAACAAAUAAUCGACUAGGGAUUCAUUCCCUCUUUGGUAAAAGAUCUUAUUUUGCAACUAAUAUAAGCACUUAUAAACAAGCUAAUUCCAUGAACAUAAAACACAGCAAAAACAAAGCCAAACUUUUAUCUUAUUUAACACUCUAUAAGUUGAUUUGAUACACUGUCGUGUGGAUCUUACUGUUAACAAGUUGAAACUAAGUUGUUUUCACAGGUUCUUUCAAACAAUGUCACAAGUGCAUAUAGCAGUAUAUAAACUCAAAUAAGUCAACCCAAACAGACCAAAUAAUGAAAAGCUUACUAGAGAUUAUGAACACACAUAUAAGGGUUUAGAACAAUGAAAUUAAAUUCCAAACCAUAAAGCAUAGUUAAAAAUAAUAACAAAAUUAAAAUUAAAAUCGAUCCAUAAAUCCAGGAAAAAAAAAAAAAACUUUAAUCAAACCUAUCAAAUGAUCAAAUCAAAACAGUGAAAACCCAAAUGCUUCAACAAUCAAUCAUAACAACACAAACGAAUCUCAAAUAUCAUAAAACAAGUAACCGAAGUUAAAAAAUCACCGAUCCACAAAGUUUAAAUCAAACGGAAACCCUAAAAAUUGAAAAUUUCAAAAACGAAACCCUAGAAAUCGAAGGAAGAAACAAACGAACCUGACCCUUGACCUUGAGGUUGAUGUGAGCACCACCUGCUUCUGGCUUCUUGUCUUCCUCGUUGUUGGGAGCAGCUGCACCUGACGACAUCUUCACAGAAUCUCCGAUUAUGCAAACGCGCUUUU